GAUGAACGCUGGCGGCGUGCCUAAUACAUGCAAGUCGAGCGAACGGACGAGAAGCUUGCUUCUCUGAUGUUAGCGGCGGACGGGUGAGUAACACGUGGAUAACCUACCUAUAAGACUGGGAUAACUUCGGGAAACCGGAGCUAAUACCGGAUAAUAUUUUGAACCGCAUGGUUCAAAAGUGAAAGACGGUCUUGCUGUCACUUAUAGAUGGAUCCGCGCUGCAUUAGCUAGUUGGUAAGGUAACGGCUUACCAAGGCAACGAUGCAUAGCCGAACUGAGAGGGUGAUCGGCCACCCUGGAACUGAGACACGGUCCAGACUCCUACGGGAGGCAGCAGUAGGGAAUCUUCCGCAAUGGGCGAAAGCCUGACGGAGCAACGCCGCGUGAGUGAUGAAGGUCUUCGGAUCGUAAAACUCUGUUAUUAGGGAAGAACAUAUGUGUAAGUAACUGUGCACAUCUUGACGGUACCUAAUCAGAAAGCCACGGCUAACUACGUG
rnacentral:rRNA from 1 species